rnacentral:rRNA from 1 species
GUACACGCUGUGACUAGCAUAUCAAUAAGCGGAGGAAAAGAAACUAACAAGGAUUCCCCUAGUAACGGCGAGUGAAGCGGGAAGAGCUCAAAUUUGAAAUCUUAAAGGGUUUCCCUUUACGAAUUGUAGUUUAAAGAAGUGUUUUCUGUUGAGGUUUUGGUAAAAGUUCUUUGGAAUAGGACAUCAUAGAGGGUGAGAAUCCCGUAUUUGACCUUUACUUUCAACUUUGUGAUACACUUUCAAAGAGUCGGAUUGUUUGGGAAUGCAGUCCAAAAUGGGUGGUAAAUUUCAUCUAAAGCUAAAUAUUGGCGAGAGACCGAUAGCGAACAAGUACCGUGAGGGAAAGAUGAAAAGAACUUUGAAAAGAGAGUUAAACAGUACGUGAAAUUGUCAAAAGGGAAGCGUUUGACACCAGUGUUGUUUUUCUGAAAAUCAAUUAAAGAACUGUUUAUGCUAAGCUUGUUUAGACUUUAUCAGCUAUCUGUUUAGUUUUGAGCUUUUCUUUAAUGCACUUUUCAGUUAACAAGUCAACAUCAAUUUCUUUUGCUGUAAAAAAGCUUGAGGAAGGUGGCUUGAGAUUCGUCUUAAGUGUUUAUAGCCUCUUGCCUAUGCAGUCGGAGAGAUUGAGGUCUGCAGCGUAGAUCCUUCGGGGCUAAAUGCAUUUGUGCUAAGUUAUAGCAUUUUAUAGACAACUUGUUGACUAUGAUUUGUCUUGUAGCUUACUCGCUUAUGUUAUUUUACCUACGCUUAGGAUGUUGACUGAUAUGUAGUCGU